GACGAACGCUGGCGGCGUGCCUAAUACAUGCAAGUCGAGCGAAGUUUUUCUGGUGCUUGCACUAGAAAAACUUAGCGGCGAACGGGUGAGUAACACGUAAAGAACCUGCCUCAUAGACUGGGACAACUAUUGGAAACGAUAGCUAAUACCGGAUAACAGCAUUAACUGCAUGGUUGAUGUUUAAAAGUUGGUUUUGCUAACACUAUGAGAUGGCUUUGCGGUGCAUUAGCUAGUUGGUGGGAUAAAGGCCUACCAAGGCGACGAUGCAUAGCCGACCUGAGAGGGUGAUCGGCCACACUGGGACUGAGACACGGCCCAGACUCCUACGGGAGGCAGCAGUAGGGAAUCUUCCGCAAUGGGCGAAAGCCUGACGGAGCAACGCCGCGUGAGUGAAGAAGGAUUUCGGUUCGUAAAGCUCUGUUGUUAGGGAAGAAUGAUUGUGUAGUAACUAUACACAGUAGAGACGGUACCUAACCAGAAAGCCACGGCUAACUACGUG
rnacentral:rRNA from 1 species